rnacentral:rRNA from 1 species
GACGAACGCUGGCGGCGUGCUUAACACAUGCAAGUCGAACGGAGUGGCGAACGGGUGAGUAACACGUGGGUGAUCUGCCUUGCACUUCGGGAUAAGCUUGGGAAACUGGGUCUAAUACCGGAUAGUGCAAGAGGAGCUCGCGGCCGAUCAGCUUGUUGGUGGGGUAAUGGCGUACCAAGGCGUCGACGGGUAGCCGGCCUGAGAGGGUGUACGGCCACAUUGGGAUGGAACUGCGGCCCAGACUACUACGGGAGGCAGCAGAGGGGAAUAGUGCACAAUGGGCGGAAGCCUGAUGCAGCGACGCGGCGUGGGGGAUGAAGGCCUGCGGGUUGUAACCCCCUUUCGACAGGGACGCGGUACCUGUAUAAGAAGCACCGGCUAACUACGUGCCAGCAGCCGCGGUAAUUC